AUCCUUUCCAGUUCAUAAAUAUGAUUAGCGGGUGUUCAUACUCUUGUGUGGUAUGUGCCUCCCUUAAACCUUGUUAAAACAUUGGCACAUUACCCUUUAGAUA